rnacentral:rRNA from 1 species
UACGUAGGGUGCAAGCGUUAAUCGGAAUUACUGGGCGUAAAGCGUGCGCAGGCGGUUAUGUAAGACAGUUGUGAAAUCCCCGGGCUCAACCUGGGAACUGCAUCUGUGACUGCAUAGCUAGAGUACGGUAGAGGGGGAUGGAAUUCCGCGUGUAGCAGUGAAAUGCGUAGAUAUGCGGAGGAACACCGAUGGCGAAGGCAAUCCCCUGGACCGGUACUGACGCUGAGGCGCGAAAGCGUGGGUAGCAAACGGG